rnacentral:rRNA from 1 species
AGUGAACGCUGGCGGCGUGCCUAAUACAUGCAAGUCGAACGGAGUGGCGCACGGGUGAGUAAUAUAUAGCUAAUCUGCCCCUUGCUGGAGGACAACAGUUAGAAAUGACUACUAAUACUCCAUAGCAAGGGAUGAGACUAUAUCGUAUCAGCUAGUCGGUGGGGUAAGGGCCAACCGGGGCUAUGAAGCGUAACUGGUGUGAGAGGAUGAUCAGUCACAUGGGAGCUGAGACACGGUGCAAACUCCGACGGUAGGAAGCAGUAUGGAAGAUUGAGAGAUGGGGAAAACCCGGACGCAGCAACGCCGCGUGGAGGAUGACACUUUGCGGAGCGUAAACUCCGUUGUUUAGGGAGGCGGUACCUAACUAAUAGGCACCGGCUAAGUCCGUGCCAGGAGCCGCGGUAGUUC